UAUAUAUUUUAUACAGUUAUAUUAGGGAUAAUUUUAUACAGCUUAUAAACAUAUCGAAUAGCAGAUAUAUUCAUGAAAAGUUCAAGUUUUUAGAUUUAUCCUUUCAAAAGUCGAGUGAUGUUCAUAUUUGUCUCUAUGUUUUGUUAUUAUUAGCUCACUAUUUAUUUUAUAACGAAAAGUAAGUAAAAUGUCACUUUUGUCAUCACAAUAUGUCCCUUCAAAAAUCACAACUAUUAGAAUCAUGUAGAAUUAUUCUCAUAAAAAAAUUUCUAAUUAUCAUCUCUUCCUGUAUAAAAAUUAAUCCAAUCCACUAUUGUUAUAACUUCUUCUCUACCUCUUCUCUCACUCCCUGUUUUUUUCUUUACCUAUCUAUUACUAAUUCCUCGGCGCUCAACGUGGGCGAAAUAACACCCGUGGUGGAUGAAUGGGGAUAGAUAAACCCUAAUUAUGAGUUCGAAACUAAAUGAGGAUGUUAGGAUUUGGUUAGAUUUGUAGUUAAAUCCUAUUUGGAUAAGAAUUAAUAUUUAAAUCUGUUUGAGAUAAAUUAAGAUUUAAAUAUUAAUUAGAUGAUAAACCUAACUAGAUUAGGAUUAAUAUUUAAAUCUAUUAGAAAUUAAUUAAGAUAGAUUUAGAUAUUAAUUGGAGUAGAAAUCCUAAAUAUAUUAGGAUUGGGGUACGUUUUAGUGGAGCCUUAUAAAUAGCUCUUUGUGGGUUUGCUUUUGAUGUGAAGUACGGGAGAGAGAGAGAGAGAGUCUCUUGGGUUGCCAUACCAGAGAGAGAAAAAGAGAGAGAGAGAGUUAUUUAAUUAUGCUUUGAGUGCACCUAGUGCACGGGUGCAUGUGAAGGAUUGUCUUCUUUAUGGGUUUAUAGAAUACGAGAGAAGGGUAGAAAAGAUUCAGAAAGAGGGCUCGGGUUGUAGCUACUCUGUGCAGAAGAGGAGUCAGGUGUAAUCUUCUCUUAUUUAAUGAAUCUUAUUUUACUCGCAUAUUUUCUGUUUUUUGGUAUUUCUCUCUUUUAUGAUUGUAUCAGCUUUUGCUGAGGAGACGGGUUUAUGGUAAAAACCCGAUUCGACGCUUCCGUUGCGAAAUCCCAACAAUCGAUACCGGAUCCACAGCAGUCGGUAUCGGAGCGGGUUGCGGAUUCACGAGAUCCGGUACCGGGGCGAGUACCGGAUUCCCAACAGAGGAAAAGAUAGAGGAAGAGGAAAAGAAGAGAAAGAAGAAGAACCUAGAGUUUUCAUUAGUAGGGUUUUAAUUGAAUUAGACUUUUGAUUAAGAGAAAAGGUAUCAUAUCUGAGGGAUAAAAAGGUAAAUUUACCUCACUCACUAACCAGGUUAAAUAUUUUAUCUGUAGUUAAUUAUAUUUUUUAAUGGACACUAACAAUAAGAAUAAAUUUGAAAUUAUUAAGACUUUUGAGGGACAAAUAUGAAAACUUGAACUUUGUAGGGAUAAAUGUGUUAUUCGAUAUAUUUACGAUGGUUAGUUAAUUUGCGAAUUAUUCGCGAAUUAUUCGCGAUUUUUUGAAAAAAUGAAUUAAAGAGCUGUUUCCGUAUUUUUCUGAAAAAUUCAGAAAAAAAACGCGAUUUUUUGAGGAAAAAUAAUUAUUCGCGAAUCGUGAAUAAUUCCUUCAAAAAAAA
rnacentral:lncRNA from 1 species